CUGCGGGGCGGAGUUCGAGACCAUGCUGCUCUUCUGCCCGGGCUGCGGGAACGGGCUGAUCAUGGAGGAGGGGCAGCGCUGCCACCGCUUCGCCUGCAACACCUGCCCCUACAUGCACAACAUCACUCGCAAGGUAACAAAUCAAAAGUAUCCAAAGCUGAAAGAAGUGGAUGAUGUGCUUGGGGGAGCAGCCGCCUGGGACAAUGUUGACUCUACUGCAGAGCCAUGUCCCAAAUGCAAACAUCCUCGUGCUUACUUCAUGCAGCUUCAGACCCGCUCUGCAGACGAGCCAAUGACCACCUUCUACAAGUGCUGCAAUGCUCAGUGUGGACACUGCUGGAGGGACUAGGGCCAGGGUGGCCCAGCUGCCUGAGUGUCUGCUUACCUUGUCCCCCGGGGUGGAUUCUCAGCUGGGAUUAUGAAUUGUGUGUUUUUGCUGGUAUGGCAGAAAACUAACCCUUUCGGGGUGAAGGGCCAGGGUGUCAAGAAAAGUAGCCCAUUUGC